rnacentral:rRNA from 1 species
GAGAGUAACGUAAAGAAUCUGCCCGGUAGUGGGGGAAACCUGAGGAAACUCCGCUAAUACCGCAUACGCCCUACGGGGGAAAGCACGGGCUCUUCAGACCUUGCGCUAUCGGAUGAGCUUAUGUCGGAUUAUCUGGUUGGUGAGGUAACGGCUCACCAAGGCGACAAUCCGUAUCUGGUCUGAGAGGAUGAUCACCCCCACCGGGACUGAGACACGGCCCGACUCCUACGGGAGGCAGCGGUGGGGAAUAUUGGACAAUGGGGGCAACCCUGAUCCCCCAUGCCGCGUGUGUGAAGAAAGCCUUCGGGUUGUAAAGCACUUUCAGCGAGGAAGAAUGCUUGUCGGUUAAUACCCGGCAAGGAAGACAUCACUCGCAGAAGAACCACCGGCUAACUCCGUG